rnacentral:rRNA from 1 species
AGUCCCUUAGUAACGGCGAGUGAACAGGGAAAAGCCCAAAUUUGUAAUCUGGCACUUUUUACAAGUGUCCGAGUUGUAAUUUGUAGAACUGUUAUCCGUGCUGGACCAUGUACAAGUCUGUUGAAAAGCAGCAUCAUUGAAGGUGAAAAUCCUGUAGAUGAUAUGGACUACCAGUGCAUUUGUGAUACGGUUUCUAAGAGUCGAGUUGUUUGGGAAUGCAGCUCAAAGUGGGUGGUAAAUUCCAUCUAAGGCUAAAUAUAAGUGAGAGACCGAUAGCAAACAAGUACCGUGAGGGAAAGAUGAAAAGAACUUUGAAAAUAGAGUUAACAGUACGUGAAAUUGCUGAAAGGGAAACGUUUGAAGUUAGUUUUGUAUUCGUUGGAUCAGCUUCGCAAGGAGUGUAUUCUGAUGAUAAGCAAGUCAACAUCAGUCUAUGAGUGUUGGAUAAGGGUUUUGGGAAUGUAGCAAUUUAAUUGUGUUAUAGCCUGAGACUUGGAUACAAUGCUUUGGAUUGAGGAACGCGUAGCAAGCUUUGAGCGGAUUCGAAAGGAUCUCCUUGCUAUGGAUGUUGGUGAAAUAACUUUAAGCGACCCGUCUUGAAAC